GACGAACGCUGGCGGCGUGCUUAACACAUGCAAGUCGAACGGAAAGGCCCUGCUUGCAGGGUACUCGAGUGGCGAACAGGUGAGUAACACGUGGGUGAUCUGCCCUGCACUUCGGGAUAAGCCUGGGAAACUGGGUCUAGUACCGGAUAGGAGCCAUUUUUAGUGUGAUGGUUGGAAAGUUUUUUCGGUGUAGGAUGAGCUCGCGGCCUAUCAGCUUGUUGGUGGGGUAAUGGCCUACCAAGGCGGCGACGGGUAGCCGGCCUGAGAGGGUGGACGGCCACAUUGGGACUGAGAUACGGCCCAGACUCCUACGGGAGGCAGCAGUGGGGAAUAUUGCACAAUGGGCGCAAGCCUGAUGCAGCGACGCCGCGUGGGGGAUGACGGCCUUCGGGUUGUAAACUCCUUUCGCUAGGGACGAAGCUUUUUGUGACGGUACC
rnacentral:rRNA from 1 species